AGAGUUUGAUCCUGGCUCAGGAUAAACGCUGGCGGCGUGCAUAACACAUGCAAGUCGAACGAUGAAACUUAGAUGAUUUCUUCGGAAUGAACUUAAGUGGAUUAGUGGCGAACGGGUGAGUAACACGUGAGUAACCUGCCUUACACAAGGGGAUAGCCUUUGGAAACGAAGAAUAAUACCCUAUAAAGUCAAUUUAUCGCAUGAUAGAAUGACCAAAGAUUUAUCGGUGUAAGAUGGACUUGCGUCUGAUUAGCUAGUUGGUGAGAUAAAGGCCCACCAAGGCAACGAUCAGUAGCCGGCUUGAGAGAGUGUACGGCCACAUUGGGACUGAGACACGGCCCAAACUCCUACGGGAGGCAGCAGUGGGGAAUUUUGCACAAUGGGGGAAACCCUGAUGCAGCGACGCCGCGUGAUUUAGAAGGCCUUCGGGUUGUAAAAAUCUUUUUUACGGGAUGAAAAUGACAGUACCGUAAGAAUAAGGUCCGGCUAAAUACGUGCCAGCAGCCGCGGUAAUACGUAUGGACCGAGCGUUGUCCGGAAUCAUUGGGCGUAAAGGGUACGUAGGCGGCCCAGUAAGUUAGAAGUGAAAUAAUAUAGCUCAACUAUAUAAAGCUUUUAAAACUGCUAGGCUUGAGAGAUGGAAGGGAAAGUGGAAUUCCUAGUGUAGCGGUGAAAUGCGCAGAUAUUAGGAAGAAUACCGGUGGCGAAGGCGACUUUCUGGUCAUCAUCUGACGCUGAGGUACGAAAGCGUGGGUAGCAAACAGGAUUAGAUACCCUGGUAGUCCACGCU
rnacentral:rRNA from 1 species